AUUGAACGCUGGCGGCAGGCCUAACACAUGCAAGUCGAGCGGGGUUUUCGGACCUAGCGGCGGACGGGUGAGUAAUGCGUAGGAAGCUACCCGAUAGAGGGGGAUACCAGUUGGAAACGACUGUUAAUACCGCAUAAUGUCUACGGACCAAAGUGUGGGACCUUCGGGCCACAUGCUAUCGGAUGCGCCUCCGUGGGGUUAGCUCGUUGGUGGGGUAAUGGCUCACCAAGGCGACGAUCCCUAGCCGGUUUGAGAGGAUGAUCAGCCACACUGGAACGGAGACACGGUCCAGACUCCUACGGGAGGCAGCAGUGGGGAAUAUUGGACAAUGGGCGCAAGCCUGGUCCAGCCAUGCCGCGUGUGUGAAGAAGGCCUUCGGGUUGUAAAGCACUUUCAGUAGGGAGGAAGCGUUGUGUGUUAAUAGUACACAGCGUUGACGUUACCUACAGAAGAAGCACCGGCUAACUCUGUGCCAGCAGCCGCGGUAAUAC
rnacentral:rRNA from 1 species